CUCUGCCCUGGAGGGCACUUUCCAGCCUAUGCAUUAUGUCUCCACUCUCCUCUGCUUGAGAGGUGGCGUCCCAUCUUCAGGACUGGUCCCACAGCUCCUUCAGGCCCAGGUCUGGCCCCUGCCUCACAGACCUCUGUGCUGGGGACUGCCUCAGUGUCCUCAUCUAUUUCAGCUUCCCACCUGGGAAGGAAGACUUGAGCGACCACCCAGAAUGGCUGGCAGCCUCCCAGCCCACUCACCAUGGACCCUCCACCUUUAUCUCAUAGUGCCUGAAGCCACAGUGAUGUCCUUGAGCAGUUAGACGACAGAACAGGCAUUGGAGCUGGCAUGUGGUAGGUACACAGUUCAUAUCUGGAGAGAAAGGCUUUCCUUAUGAGCCUUAUUUUGUUAGCCCAGCAGCAGCAACUCUGCACCAAGUUCCUAAAUGCCUGCAAUGGCAUUUGAGCCUCAGAGCCAGGCUUGGACUGAGGUGCAUGCAUGUGAGAUGUGUCUGCUUGACGCUGUCCUUUAUUUACUACUUUUUACUUGUCACUCACUGCAGGAAGCACUUUACAGGUGUAAUGGGGACAAGAGUUUUGAAUUGUAUCAUUGUGAUUUUUUUUUCUCUCUUGCAUUCCCUUGGAUAUGAACUGCCAAAGACAUUUUUUGCCUUGGUCCUGCUGCUGGAAUGCAAAGCUUUAAGUCCAGCCCGGAGCUGAGAGCCAGCAGGUAGAAAGGAAAAAGGAUUUUGUAAAUUUCUUUAGUUCCCAGGCCAGGUCGAGAAGUUCAGAAGUCUUCAAACAAGCUAAGUUUGAUAAGGUGGUGGAUAAAAGACUUUAAAGCCUAAAACUAUAUUGCCUUAUGGUGAAGAUAUACAGAGGAUGUGGAAUGGAAACAUGAAUUCAAGGAGAAGAAGGAAAAAAUGUAAAAUUUCCAAAUGUUGAAGAAGAGCUUGUUCAUGGAUUUAAACAACUGAUGAU